UACAGAGGGGGCAAGCGUUGUUCGGAAUUACUGGGCGUAAAGGGCGCGUAGGCGGCCUUCUAAGUCGAACGUGAAAUCCCCGGGCUCAACCCGGGAACUGCGUCCGAGACUGAAAGGCUUGAAUCCGGGAGAGGGAUGUGGAAUUCCCGGUGUAGCGGUGAAAUGCGCAGAUAUCGGGAGGAACACCGGUGGCGAAGGCGGUUCUCUGGGCCUUACCUGACGCUGAGGAGCGAAAGCGUGGGGAGCGAACAGG
rnacentral:rRNA from 1 species